rnacentral:rRNA from 1 species
UACGUAGGGCGCAAGCGUUGUCCGGAAUUAUUGGGCGUAAAGAGCUCGUAAGGCGGUCUGUCGCGUCCGUUGUGAAAACUCGAGGCUCAAACCUCGGGCUUGCAGUGGAUACGGGCAGACUAGAGUGCGGUAGGGGGAGACUGGAAUUCCUGGUGUAGCGGUGGAAAUUGCGCAGAUAUCAAGGAGGAACACCGAAUGGCGAAGGCAGGGUCUCCUGGGCAAUUAACUGACGCUGAGGAGCGAAAAGCAUGGGGGAGCGAAACAGGA